UUAGUUACGAAUUAGAAUCAGUCCGAAAUCAAAUAAUGUAAAACUAGAUAUUAGCACAAAAAACAAACAAGUUUCGCUCAGUUCAGUUUGACUCAAAGCCAACCGCCAAAUCAAAUUGCCGUACCCUCCAUCAAUCAAAGGCAAAGCGACGCUUCCGAAUGAACGCGCGGCAGAAAAGGUGGAAAGCACACUCACACACUCGCAGCCAGGCCCGAGCAAACGACGGGAAGAAAAGCAGCUCAGUCACGGUCAUUCGUUCUUUAGCUGCCGCCAUCAUCGAAGGCAAAACCCCGCGUGUGUAAAAAGAAGUGCCGGUAAUUUUGACUGCGACACGUUGGUUGGGGGAAAUCCAGCCGGAGGAGUUUUCGUGACACGCUUUUGGGGACUGUGCGACAAGGAACAAUUAACCCGGUCUUAAAGGACCGCGCUUGGCUAACCGCAAGCGAGAAGCCACUGUCAGCCUCAACCUCACAUCCGCGAAACCGGCCGGAACAACACGACGGAUUACGGCGGAAGGAGUGUGGCCACGCUACACACACUCGGCAGGCCGAUUUGAAAGCCGUACCCACGAGUAGAGCAACCCGCAUAACCCUAAUCUCGCACGUGUGGAUCGAGUCGGAACACAUUGCUGGCGACUAGAUCAGCCGAAACUCGUAAAUUCCGAGGUCAGGGAACGCGAAUGGAAACGGAGAACACCGUUCUGGAAGACACGUGACGCAAUAGCCACCGUCAAAUCAUCCCGUGCUACGAUCGGAAGUCGUCUGGGUGAAAGGAGAGACACGAGCGUCGAACAAGCCCCGUAAAGGGGCUUUGUUUUUGGUCUCAUUGGCAGGUAAUCAGGCGUACACGGUAUUCGGAGCGGGUUCCAUCAUUCUCCCGGCAGCUAGAGGACGGCACGGUGAGCGUUUGUCUGGAUCGAAUCUUCCGGGCAAGCCAAGGCCAGCGAGAGGCA